rnacentral:rRNA from 1 species
GACGAACGCUGGCGGCGUGCCUAAUACAUGCAAGUAGAACGCUGAAGAAGAGGAGCUUGCUCUUCUUGGAUGAGUUGCGAACGGGUGAGUAACGCGUAGGUAACCUGCCUUGUAGCGGGGGAUAACUAUUGGAAACGAUAGCUAAUACCGCAUAACAAUGGAUGACACAUGUCAUUUAUUUGAAAGGGGCAAUUGCUCCACUACAAGAUGGACCUGCGUUGUAUUAGCUAGUAGGUGAGGUAACGGCUCACCUAGGCGACGAUACAUAGCCGACCUGAGAGGGUGAUCGGCCACACUGGGACUGAGACACGGCCCAGACUCCUACGGGAGGCAGCAGUAGGGAAUCUUCGGCAAUGGGGGCAACCCUGACCGAGCAACGCCGCGUGAGUGAAGAAGGUUUUCGGAUCGUAAAGCUCUGUUGUAAGUCAAGAACGAGUGUGAGAGUGGAAAGUUCACACUGUGACGGUAGCUUACCAGAAAGGGACGGCUAACUACGUGCCAGCAGCCGCGGUAAUACGUAGGUCCCGAGCGUUGUCCGGAUUUAUUGGGCGUAAAGCGAGCGCAGCGGUUUGAUAAGUCUGAAGUUAAGGCUGUGGCUCAACCAUAGUUCGCUUUGGAAACUGUCAAACUUGAGUGCAGAAGGGGAGAGUGGAAUUCCAUGUGUAGCGGUGAAAUGCGUAGAUAUAUGGAGGAACACCGGUGGCGAAAGCGGCUCUCUGGUCUGUAACUGACGCUGAGGCUCGAAAGCGUGGGGAGCGAACAGGAUUAGAUACCCUGGUAGUCCACGCCGUAAACGAUGAGUGCUAGGUGUUGGAUCCUUUCCGGGAUUCAGUGCCGCAGCUAACGCAUUAAGCACUCCGCCUGGGGAGUACGACCGCAAGGUUGAAACUCAAAGGAAUUGACGGGGGCCCGCACAAGCGGUGGAGCAUGUGGUUUAAUUCGAAGCAACGCGAAGAACCUUACCAGGUCUUGACAUCCCGAUGCUAUUUCUAGAGAUAGAAAGUUACUUCGGUACAUCGGUGACAGGUGGUGCAUGGUUGUCGUCAGCUCGUGUCGUGAGAUGUUGGGUUAAGUCCCGCAACGAGCGCAACCCCUAUUGUUAGUUGCCAUCAUUCAGUUGGGCACUCUAGCGAGACUGCCGGUAAUAAACCGGAGGAAGGUGGGGAUGACGUCAAAUCAUCAUGCCCCUUAUGACCUGGGCUACACACGUGCUACAAUGGUUGGUACAACGAGUUGCGAGUCGGUGACGGCAAGCUAAUCUCUUAAAGCCAAUCUCAGUUCGGAUUGUAGGCUGCAACUCGCCUACAUGAAGUCGGAAUCGCUAGUAAUCGCGGAUCAGCACGCCGCGGUGAAUACGUUCCCGGGCCU